AUCCAGUUGAAGAGUCCCAAUUAGGACGAAACGUGCGUCUUGGAU
rnacentral:hammerhead_ribozyme from 1 species